rnacentral:rRNA from 1 species
GAUGGACGCUGGCGGCGUGCCUAAUACAUGCAAGUCGAGCGAACGGACGAGAAGCUUGCUUCUCUGAUGUUAGCGGCGGACGGGUGAGUAACACGUGGAUAACCUACCUAUAAGACUGGGAUAACUUCGGGAAACCGGAGCUAAUACCGGAUGAUAUUUUGAACCGCAUGGUUCAAAAGUGAAAGACGGUCUUGCUGUCACUUAUAGAUGGAUCCGCGCUGCAUUAGCUAGUUGGUAAGGUAACGGCUUACCAAGGCAACGAUGCAUAGCCGACCUGAGAGGGUGAUCGGCCACACUGGAACUGAGACACGGUCCAGACUCCUACGGGAGGCAGCAGUAGGGAAUCUUACGCAAUGGGCGAAAGCCUGACGGAGCAACGCCGCGUGAGUGAUGAAGGUCUUCGGAUCGUAAAACUCUGUUAUUAGGGAAGAACAUAUGUGUAAGUAACUGUGCACAUCUUGACGGUACCUAAUCAGAAAGCCACGGCUAACUACGUG